ACUCCUACGGGAGGCAGCAGUGAGGAAUAUUGCACAAUGGAGGAAACUCUGAUGCAGCAACGCCGCGUGGAGGAUGGCGCAUUUCGGUGUGUAAACUCCUUUUAUAAGAGAAGAAAAUGACGGUAUCUUAUGAAUAAGUCCCGGCUAACUCCGUGCCAGCAGCCGCGGUAAUACGGAGGGGACAAGCGUUAUUCGGAAUCACUGGGCGUAAAGGACGCGUAGGCGGGUUAUUAAGUCGGGUGUGAAAUCCAAUGGCUCAACCAUUGAACUGCAUUCGAAACUGAUAACCUAGAGUAUGGAAGGGGCAGGUGGAAUUAGUGGUGUAGGGGUAAAAUCCGUAGAUAUCACUAGGAAUACCGAAAGCGAAGGCGACCUGCUGGGACAUUACUGACGCUGAGGCGUGAAAGCGUGGGGAGCAAACAGGAUUAGAUACCCUGGUAGUCCACGCCCUAAACGAUGAAUGCUAGUCGUCGGGGAGCUCGUCUCUUCGGUGAUGCACUUAACAGAUUAAGCAUUCCGCCUGGGGAGUACGGUCGCAAGAUAAAACUCAAAGGAAUAGACGGGGACCCGCACAAGUGGUGGAGCAUGUGGUUUAAUUCGAAGAUACGCGAAGAACCUUACCUAGCCUUGACAUUGAUUGAAUUAUCCAGAGAUGGAUGAGUGCCUUUCGGGGAACAUGAAAACAGGUGCUGCACGGCUGUCGUCAGCUCGUGUCGUGAGAUGUUGGGUUAAGUCCCGCAACGAGCGCAACCCUCGUCGUUAGUUGCUAACAGGUUAAGCUGAGCACUCUAGCGAGACUGNCUUCGCAAGGANGANGAAGGUGAGGACGACGUCANGUCAUCAUGGCCCUUAUGGCUAGGGCUACACACGUGCUACAAUGGGGCGUACAGAGAGUUGCGAUACCGCGAGGUGGAGCCAAUCUCNUAAAGCGUCUCCCAGUUCGGAUU
rnacentral:rRNA from 1 species